AUGACUGACAGCUCUGCUUCUUGAUAGCAGAUCAUAAAGUAAACAUGUCUUUAAUAGCCAUCAUUAUUUGGACGCUCGCAACCUGCACCUGGAGUUCUGUGGGGCAGAUUCUGACUCAAUCUGAAGAUCAAACAGUGAAUCCUGAUCAAACUGUCACUAUUCACUGUAAACACACACCAGCUGUGAAAUGUGUUAAAACAGAUACUUCGCAGUAUUGUAUGGCCUGGUACCAUCAGAUUCCUGGAGAAGUUCCUAAACUACUGACCUAUUUGACAUCAGAGAGAGCUUCAGGUGUUUCUUCUAGAUUCAGUGGUAGUGAAAGUGGAAACCACAUGGAUUUUACUCUGACCAUCAGUGGAGUCCAGCCUGAAGAUUCAGGAGUUUAUUACUGUCAGAGUAAACAUAACAAGGGUGUCUCUGGCACCACAGACUGGGUGUUCACACAGUGUAGAAGCAUCGUACAAAAACCUCCUUAUGUGAGCCUGCAGCGCUGCAGCUUUGAGCUUCUGCAGAUGUUGAUGUUGAAGAUCAUUAUUCACCUCACUGACUUUACACACAAACACAAAUACUUUUUAAGGCUGCUGAACUGUUGAUGUUCAUUAUUAUAACACACUUCACAUUCUACAUAUUUUAUUAAUAAUAAACACCAGAAUGUCUCAAUCAGGUUUCCACGUGAACUAUGAUCCAAUAAAAUCCAUCCAACCUUGAAGAAAGCAAACAAACCAUGGCCAAAGCAACUUCUCAAAUACACGCUUUAACUAACAAUAUAAACGGCCUGGUUCAGUGUGAAAUAAGCCAGAAUCCAUAUUUUGUUCUGUUCUGUAUUUUUAACAACCACAACA